GAAAGUAAUGAAGGGCGUACGGUGGAUGCCUAGGCUCUUACAGGCGAUGAAGGACGUGAUAAGCUGCGAAAAGCCGCGGUGAGGCGCAAAUGGCCCUUGACCCGCGGAUCUCCGAAUGGGACAACCCAAUAUCUUGAAGAGAUAUUAUCCCGCCGAUGCGGGAGGCGAACGCGGGGAACUGAAACAUCUUAGUACCCGCAGGAAAAGAAAAUAAAGAAUGAUUCCCCCAGUAGUGGCGAGCGACCGGGGAAGAGCCCAAACCGACGUUGUCUCGGCAUCGUCGGGGUUGUAGGACCGCGCCAUCGCAAGAAAGGCCGUGAGUGGAAGCGACUGGAAAGCCGCGCCAUAGAGGGUGACAGCCCCUUACACGAAGCAGCCAGAAGCGUAGCGGACUCCUGAGUAGCGCGGGACACGAGUAAUCCUGUGUGAAUCCGCCGGGCCCAUCCGGCAAGGCUAAAUACUCGUAAGAGACCGAUAGUGAACCAGUACCGUGAGGGAAAGGUGAAAAGUACCCCUUGCAGGGGAGUGAAAGAGUUCCUGAAACCGUACGCCUACAAGCGGUCGGAGCAUCUUGAAUGAUGUGACGGCGUGCCUUUUGCAUAAUGAACCUACGAGUUGCCGUCACCAGCGAGGUUAAGUGCGAUGACGCACCGAGCCGCAGCGGAAGCGAGUCUUAAAAGGGCGCGAUAGUUGGUGGAGGCAGACGCGAAACCGAGUGAUCUACACUUGUCCAGGAUGAAGUCCCGGUAACACGGGAUGGAGGUCCGCACCAAUAAGCGUUGAAAAGCUUCUGGAUGAGGUGAGUGUAGGAGUGAAAGGCCAAUCAAACUCGGAGAUAGCUCGUACUCCCCGAAAGGCAUUUAGGUGCCGCCUGUGGCGUUCCCGACGUGAGGUAGAGCGACUGAUAGGAUGCGAGGGCUUCACCGCCUAUCAAGUCCUGACAAACUCCGAAUGCACGUCGGCCAAGCCAUGGAGUAAGGGCAUGGGUGCUAAGGUCCGUGCCCGAGAGGAGAAGAAUCCAGACCACCGGCUAAGGUCCCGAAAUACUGGUUAAGUUAGACUAACGCAGUCCGGCCCCCAAGACAGCUAGGAUGUUGGCUUGGAAGCAGCCAUUCAUUCAAAGAGUGCGUAACAGCUCACUAGUCGAGGAGCUGGGCGUGGAUAAUAAUCGGGUAUAAAACCAGUUACCGAAGCCGUGGGAUGCUUAAGCAUCGGUAGGGGAGCAUUGCAUGCGGCUUAGAAGGCGGGGCGUGAGCCCCUCUGGAGCGCAUGGAAACGCAAAUGUAGGUAUAAGUAACGACAAGGGGGGUGGGAUGCCCCCCCGCCGAAAGACCAAGGUUUCCUGAACAACGCUAAUCGGUUCAGGGUCAGUCGGGUCCUAAGCAUAAGCCGUAUGGCGAGGGCGAUGGACGAAACGGUUAAUAUUCCGUUACUGUCUUGGUGUGUGACGCGGCGACGGAGUAGUGACACGGCCGCCUCCUGACGGAAAAGGGGGUUGAAGCGCAAAGGUGUUGAGGAAGGCAGGCAAAUCCACCUUCCGAGCCGAAGCGCGAUAGUACGCCGGGCCCUUUGGGGCAAGGCGAUAGUGCCGGUAAUCAGACUUCCAAGAAAACCCGCUAAACUUCAGCACCAAGUCACCCGUACUCUAAACGGACACACGUGGUCGGGUAGAAUAUACUAAGGCGCUUGGGAGAUUCACGGUUAAGGAACUAGGCAAAUUGACCCCGUACCUUCGGAAUAAGGGGUCCUCGCUUUUGCGAGGCGCAGAGAAUAGGUCCAGGCAACUGUUUAACAAAAACACAGGGCUGUGCAAAUUUGAAAGAAGAAGUAUACAGCCUGACACCUGCCCGGUGCCGGAAGGUUAAGAGGAGAGCUCAUCAGCGAUGAGAAGGUUUGAAUUGAAGCCCCGGUAAACGGCGGCCGUAACUAUAACGGUCCUAAGGUAGCGAAAUUCCUUGUCGGGU
rnacentral:rRNA from 1 species